AGAUAAAAUAGCUGAUCUGAAAAGUACACCAUCUACUUGCCACUAUACAUCAUGUACUGUGUUACAACCCUAGAUAAAGCCGACGAGGAAAGGCAUUACAUCGACCACCGAAAGCUAUAUUUAAGUCUCCCAAACGAAGUUUGGGAAGACUUAUUGUUUUUGCUCAGUUCUUAUUAUUAUUAUUAUUCUUCUUCCUCUUCCUCUUCCGCCGCUUUUAAAUUUGAACUUGUCCGCACCCGUUCUCCAAAACCGCUUGUCAGAUUAACUUAGGAUUUCACAAUAUGUUAGACUAACAUGUCUAGUGGUGCAAUCAGGGUUUUGUUUGUGCAAUGGGGUUUAUAAAGGGGUACUUUGAGGGGCAAAAAGAAAAGAGGGUUUUACUAUAGAACCCUAUGGGAUUUUAUUUUUAAAAAUUUUCAAAUGAUUAUAAAUUGAAAACCGUUUGUGAUAGACACAAUCUUUUUAAUUGAAAAUGUUCUAAAUGAUAAAACCCAUUAAAUGAAAUACAGGGUUAGUCCCCAGGGGUCACCCCCACCCCCUGCCAUUUAAGAAAGUUCUAAUACCUUGUAAGUGGUCAAGAUCCCCACCCCUAAACCAUAUAUAUUCUGGUUUGUCAUGCUAAGAUGGUUUGAAUGAUAUACAGGGUUAGUCCCCAGGGGUCAUCCCGACCCCCUGCCAUUUGAGAAAGUUCUAAUAUCUUGUAAAUGGUCGAGAUCCCCACCCCUAAACCAUAUAUAUUCUGGUUUGUCAUGCUAAGAUGGUUUGAAUGAUAUACAGGGUUAGUCCCCAGGGGUCAUCCCGACCCCCUGCUAUUUGAGAAAGUUCUAAUAUCUUGUAAAUGGUCGAGAUCCCCACCCCUAAACCAUAUAUAUUCUGGUUUGUCAUGCUAAGAUGGUUUGAAUGAUAUACAGGGUUAGUCCCCAGGGGUCAUCCCGACCCCCUGCCAUUUGAGAAAGUUCUAUUAUCUUGUAAAUGGUCAAGAUCCCCACCCCUAAACCAUAUAUAUUCUGGUUUGUCAUGCUAAGAUGGUUUGAAUGAUAUACAGGGUUAGUCCCCAUGGGUCAUCCCAACCCCCUGCCAUUUGAGAAAGUUCUAAUAUCUUGUAAAUGGUCGAGAUCCCUACCCCUAAACCAUAUAUAUUCUGGUUUGUCAUGCUAAGAUGGUUUGAAUGAUAUACAGGGUUAGUCCCCAGGGGUCAUCCCGACCCCCUGCCAUUUGAGAAAGUUCUAAUAUCUUGUAAAUGGUCGAGAUCCCCACCCCUAAACCAUAUAUAUUCUGGUUUGUCAUGAUAAAACACAUGAAAUGAAAUACAGGGUUAGUCCCCAGGGGUCACCCCCACCCCAUGCCAUUUAAGAAAGUUCUAAUAUCUUGUAAGUGGUCGAGAUCCCCACCCCUAAACCAUAUAUAUUAUGGUUUGUCAUGCUAAGAUGGUUUGAAUGAUAUACAGGGUUAAUCCCCAGGGGUCAUCCCGAUCCCCUGCCAUUUGAGAAAGUUCUAAUAUCUUGUAAAUGGUCGAGAUCCCCACCCCUUAACCAUAUAUAUUCUGGUUUGUCAUGCCAAGAUGAUUUGAAUGAUAUUCAGGGUUAGUCCCUAGGCAUCACUAAUGCAUAUAACUUUACUGGACCUAACCAAUUUUCACUGGACUUUGCCCAAUGUCAGGCGACCCUGGGAAUUACGAAUUAUGGGAGCUUCGUUUGGGAGACUUCGUAACAGCAUCCUGUUACAAUCAUUUCUUG